rnacentral:miRNA from 1 species
UUGGGUUGGCCAAAAAAGUUUGUUUGGGUUUUUCCAUAACUUCUUAAGAAAAACCUGAAUGAACUUUCUGGCCAACUCAGU